GACGAACGCUGGCGGCGUGCCUAACACAUGCAAGUCGAGCGGAGUUGUAUCGGAAGCUUGCUUUCGAUAUAAUUUAGCGGCGGACGGGUGAGUAACGCGUGGGCAACCUGCCCCGUACUGGGGGAUAACACUGGGAAACUAGUGCUAAUACCGCAUAACAAAGCAUUACCGCAUGGUAGAGCUUUCAAAGGAGCAAUCCGGUAUGAGAUGGGCCCGCGUCCGAUUAGCUAGUUGGUGGGGUAAAGGCCUACCAAGGCGACGAUCGGUAGCCGCACUGAGAGGUUGGUCGGCCACAUUGGGACUGAGACACGGCCCAGACUCCUACGGGAGGCAGCAGUGGGGAAUACUGCGCAAUGGGGGAAACCCUGACGCAGCAACGCCGCGUGAAGGAUGAAGGUCUUCGGAUUGUAAACUUCUUUGAUUGGGGACGAAUAAUGACGGUACCCAAAAAACAAGCCACGGCUAACUACGUGCCAGCCGCCGCCGUAA
rnacentral:rRNA from 1 species